AACGCUAGCUACAGGCUUAACACAUGCAAGUCGAACGGAUUCUGGAUUCGUCUGGAAUUAGUGGCAAACGGGUGAGUAACACGUAUCCAACCACCCUGCGACUCGGGGAUAGCCUCUUGAAAGGGAGAUUAAUAUCCGAUGUACUGUUUUUGGUGCAUGCCAUUUUCAGUAAAGUUUUUUACGGUCGCUGACGGGGAUGCGUUCCAUUAGAUAGUCGGUGUGGUAACGGCUCACCGAGUCUAUGAUGGAUAGGGGUUCUGAGAGGAAGGUCCCCCACAUUGGAACUGCGACACGGUCCAAACUCCUACGGGAGGCAGCAGUGAGGAAUAUUGGUCAAUGGGCGAAAGCCUGAACCAGCUAUGUAGCGUGAAGGAUGACUGCCCUAUGGGUUGUAAACUUCUUUUGUUCGGGAAUAACAGACUUCACUUGUGGAGUUUUGCAUGUACCGUUCGAAUAAGGAUCGGCUAACUCCGUGCCAGCAGCCGCGGUAAUACGGAGGAUCCUAGCGUUAUUCGGAUUUAUUGGGUUUAAAGGGAGCGUAGGCGGGGGGUCAAGUCAGCUGUGAAAUACGUACGCUUAACGUUCGUCUUGCAGUUGAAACUGGUUUUCUUGAGUGCGUAUGAGGCAGGCGGAAUUCGUGGUGUAGCGGUGAAAUGCUUAGAUAUCACGAAGAACUCCGAUUG
rnacentral:rRNA from 2 species